GACCUGAUGGCUGAGCGGUUAGGCAUCCGUCCGGUAAACGGAGGACGCUGGUUCGAUUCCAGCUCGGGGCA
rnacentral:tRNA from 1 species